rnacentral:rRNA from 1 species
ACGUAGGGGGCAAGCGUUGUCCGGAUUUAAUGGGUGUAAAGGGUGCUCAGGCGGAUUUGUAAGUCAGAGGUGAAAUCUCACAGCUUAACUGUGAAACUGCCUUUGAUACUGCAAGUCUAGAGUAUGGAAGAGAGUGAUGGAAUGUCUGGUGUAUCAGUGAAAUGCUUAUAUAUCAGAUAGAACACCAAUGGCGAAGGCAGUCACUUGUUCCAUUACUGACGCUAAAUCACGAAAGCUUUUGUAGCAAAAAG